rnacentral:misc_RNA from 1 species
AGCAGCCGCGGUAAUUCCAGCUCCAAUAGCGUAUAUUAAAGUUGUUGCAGUUAAAAAGCUCGUAGUUGAAUUUCGGGAUCAAUAUAUCGGUCGUGCCUUGGUACGUACUGGUAUCAUUGGUUUCUCCUUUCUGACGAACCAUGAUGUCAUUAAUUUGGUGUUAUGGGAAGUUAGGACUGUUACUUUGAAAAAAUUAGAGUGUUUAAAGCAGGCUUUAGCUUGAAUACAUUAGCAUGGAAUAAUGAAAUAGGACGUUCGAACCUAUUUUGUUGGUUUCUAGGAUCAACGUAAUGAUUAAUAGGGAUAGUUGGGGGCAUUAGUAUUCAAUUGUCAGAGGUGAAAUUCUUGGAUUUAUUGAAGACUAACUACUGCGAAAGCAUUUGCCAAGGAUGUUUUCAUUAAUCAAGAACGAAAGUUAGGGGAUCGAAGACGAUCAGAUACCGUCGUAGUCUUAACCAUAAACUAUGCCGACUAGGGAUCGGAUGAUGUUAAUUUUUUUAAUGACUCAUUCGGCGCCUUA